rfam:Linderina pennispora strain ATCC 12442 DL89scaffold_24, whole genome shotgun sequence.
UACUUUUUGGAAGAACCGCUUAUUUUUACACUUUAUCGAAGCCUCACACACAAAGUCAGCAGCGGCCUCACCGGCCGAUGUCUACUUAUCUCUUGGCUUUGGGUGAAAGUCCCCGGACCCUGGGCAGAAAGUGCCGCCUGUAAUUAGGUAAUUGACGCCCCUCCUGUUUUACUAACCGCUAUGCCUAUAGAUUCCGCGUUCAGCGCUCCUCCGGGGUUCGCUCUGGGAAGCAAAGAUGCCUUGGCGGAGCUUCAGUGGGCGCUGUUCGCACCAAUCUGGCAGAGGGUUUUUGGGAUCGGGCGUCCUGUUCGUCAUAGCACAGUUAUGCGGUUGGCUAUCCAUCUGGGUAGCUACCUCAACGGGGCUCACUUCUCCAGGUAUU